rnacentral:rRNA from 1 species
UUGAACGCUGGCGGCAGGCCUAACACAUGCAAGUCGAGCGGAUGAAGGGAGCUUGCUCCUGGAUUCAGCGGCGGACGGGUGAGUAAUGCCUAGGAAUCUGCCUGGUAGUGGGGGAUAACGUCCGGAAACGGGCGCUAAUACCGCAUACGUCCUGAGGGAGAAAGUGGGGGAUCUUCGGACCUCACGCUAUCAGAUGAACCUAGGUCGGAUUAGCUAGUUGGUGGGGUAAAGGCCUACCAAGGCGACGAUCCGUAACUGGUCUGAGAGGAUGAUCAGUCACACUGGAACUGAGACACGGUCCAGACUCCUACGGGAGGCAGCAGUGGGGAAUAUUGGACAAUGGGCGAAAGCCUGAUCCAGCCAUGCCGCGUGUGUGAAGAAGGUCUUCGGAUUGUAAAGCACUUUAAGUUGGGAGGAAGGGCAGUAAGUUAAUACCUUGCUGUUUUGACGUUACCAACAGAAUAAGCACCGGCUAACUUCGUG